CAGGUCCCCUGAAAUAACAGUGAGAUUCCUGAAUGAAGUCACCAUAAAGGAAAAAUCAGCUUUUAUUAUAUCCUCCAUCCUGUUUAUAGGCUCAGACUCACCUUGUCCCUGAGUCAAAUUCACCAGGUAAUUUGACUUACAGGUCAAUAUAAGCUCAACAAUGAAUUCUGGGCCCCCGGGGGACUCUCUUGGAGGAUGACCCGGCCACCCGGUGAGAGGUCUUUUACUGCGCCAGUGCGGUGAUGUCAAACAGCGGCUUUAUCUCAGUGAAAACACUGGUAACACCGGGAUGUGUCUGCCAGAUAAGAAGGCACAGCAGUAACAUGCCAGUUUAUUCAACAGCGUUUAAGCUGAAGCACGGUGUGCUCAAAGGGUGAGACUAUCGCGCCAUCUAGCGCCCGUUGAGGGUAUGAACUUCUCAUGAUCUCUCAUGAUAAUGCGACUUUGACUUCUCGAACUGCUUCAUAUAAAGAAUUCUUACAGACCUGAAGUGAUAAAAUUGUUCAUCAGAAGAAAACAUUAUAUUCCAUUUUUCAUUGUAAAUAUAUUAUGUUCCCUCUGUGAACCCUCAGAGCGGUUCUUCUUAGUAUUUUGCUAUGAAAAUACGAAACAGAUGCAGUGAUUUAUUGAAAUGUACACAUACAUGAAUGGAAAUACAGAAAUGGAGUUUGUGCAUCAUAAGGAGCUUGAACAUCAAUAUUUGGUAUGAUCACCUUUAUUCUUAGACUUCCUGAGGUCUCAUAGGCCAGUUUUUAAAAACAUUUCUUUAAGCAUCUUCAGGAAUAGUUCUCCAGGCUUCUUCAUGGACAUUCAAAGCUUUACUUUGGAUGUUGGCUGCCUUUUCUCACAUUCUGUGUCAAGAUGAUUCCACACUGCUUUGGUAAUGUUGCAGCUCAGGGAUCAGUGACAUGCUGAAAACUGAAGCCAUUGCCAGUCAGAUGGUAUUGCAUGGUGGAUCCAAACCCAAUGCUACUUUGUAUUUCUGCAUUUGUAAUUUCAUAUAUUUUGACAAGAUUUCAACACCACUGGUGGAAAUGCAGCCCUAAACCAUGACUCAGCCUCCACCAUGUUUUACAGAUGGCUGCAGACACUCACAGUUGCACCUCUCUCCUGAACUCCUCUGUACCUAUUGUCACAGAUUUUCACCCCAGCUUUUUCUCCCUGUUUCCUUUGUUGGAUUGUUUCUUAAUUCCUAAGGAUGCAGUUUUCAGGUCCUAUUAAUCUGCUGUAGAUAGUUUUUUAGGUCUGCCACUCUUUUUGUCCUCCACAUGUCCAUGUCAUCAUUGACAUCAGCUUGUAAUAAAAGCAGAAAAUCACUUUGGUAUUAAAGUGAUCAGUGUAUUCUCUGUAAACCUUUGGCUCACAAUCAGUAUUUUUAAUAUAUUUACAUUAUUAAUUAAAAAUUUGGCCAUGUUUAAAGCAUCCAGCUCAGUGUUUGCAGGCCAGUGUUGCCCUUAAAUAAAUGGUUCUCAAACUGCAGAGCAGGACUCAAAGCAGAGGCACGGCUGGUGGGGCAUGGAUCAUCUUCUUACAGCAUCUCCUUUUAGAGGUUACACAGCUGAUCACCUGUCACUUUAACCCCAGCAACCUCUUCUGUCGCAGAAACCAUCUGCAUGUUCUCAUUUACCCUCGACAUCGGGGUCCCCAACCUUUUUUGCACCUUGGACUGGUUCAUUUCCAACAACAAAAUAAAACCAGUACCAAAGAAGAUUUAUUCAUAACACAAGGGAAAAGACCCAGGGAAACAGAGUUAAUGCUAAAAACCGAUAAAAACCCUGAAAACCAUAAAUUUCACACCGUAGCCUCAACUCUUGCGUACCGUUACCGGUGUGUGGCCCGGGAGUUGGGGACCGCUGGUCUACAUCAUCCCCCCCCGGUAAAUUUACUAUCCACCUCGCCUCUAACUUUGUCACCAACCUGCUCAAUCAGAGCCGUCCCCUCUGAUAUACUUAAUCUUGCCCAUUUUGGUCACGAAUGCCGAAAAUCUGAACAUCUUCAACUCAGCCACCUCCGUCUUCAAUUGCUCCACCGUCCCCCUCCACCCUGCCUGGACUCUCUUCAUUGUCCAUUGCUUCCGAUAGCUGACCUCGAGUAUUUAAACUCAUCCACUUUCACUGGCUCUGCUCCUUACAGCUUCACUGUUACACCUCCCUCCAUUCCAUUCUUACUUUUACUUUACUAAAACUCAUUUUGCAUCUUUUUGUACUUUCAAUAAAUUCUUAGUAAGAAACCAAAAACAAACUUUCUUUCUCCUUCCACCAAAAUCACUUGAUUAAUAAAAACAGUCAGCAUGGAACAUUUGGGAAAAGCAUAUUUUUGAUUAAUACAUUGUGAAUCGUUUAUUCUUACACUGAGGUCAGCAAGUGAGGAUUCCCUGUUCAUAUGAGGUCAUAAGAAACCCUGUUGUGUUUUUCAUGCUGCACAAAUAUCAACACAAGUCAAUCAGUUGCCUCAUCAAUCUUUCAACCCGUUUUCUUGCUAACAUGAUAUUAUAGAAAACAGACAUCCAGGAAGAUCCCAAUGAUUUUUUUUUAAUAUAGUUGGCAAUCAAAGAUGAUUUUCAUUUGAAUCAUUAUUUACACAUAAGUAUGUACAGUGGUCAAAGAGGAGCAGGAGGCUGUAGUCUCGCUGUGCGCAUGUGCACCACAGAGGAGGACAAGGGUGGAGGAGGGUGGGGGUAGAAGUAGCUAGAGUUCAUCCUUUCAAACAAAUGUAUGAAUAAAUCUAACAGCGGCUUAUUUCAUUCAUCCAUUCGACAUCACCGGUAUGUGUGCAUAGCUCGGACAUGGAUUUGGCACGCACACACACACGCGCACACACACAAUAAAUAUACACACCCAGUAUAUAAACAAUGCACUGACAGACAAUGUGCACUGGCUGAUCCUCGUGUAAAAGUCUCAUCUGAUCACGUCCAUGGACA